UCUCCGAGUCUGUUUCUCACUGAAGACACAGAUAAUGGAGAAGUCCAGUAACUCCUCCGCGUAUGAACUGACGUAUGAGUAUUAUUAUGAUUACAUGGAUCCGGUGAUCGUGGAUUCGAGAACACUCAGAUACAACAGAUAUUCAAUCGUUAUCAUAUUCUGGAUCAUUAUGGCUGCAUUUAUUGGACUUUUCUUCUUGAUUCUGAUAAAUAUUUCACGGACCGGGUUUCAUCUGAGGCAUCCUAGUAUCAGGAGAACAGGAAGCUUGUUAUUGAGAAGGAAAGAAAAAUGUCCUUCAUCUAAACCACUGGUGUGAUGAAUGGCACAGAAUCAGCAGUGACUCUGAGCACUGACACUGGACCGCAGUAGCUAUUGACCCUCUGACUCUGGAAGCUUCCUGGGAUCAAACAUCCACAGCUACCAUCGUUAUCUGCUCAUCAAACGCCUUUUCAGUAAAACAUAGAUUCAUACAAAUACCUGUUUUCUGAUACCCCAUU